UACGUAGGGUGCGAGCGUUGUCCGGAAUUAUUGGGCGUAAAGAGCUUGUAGGCGGUUUGUCGCGUCUGCUGUGAAAAAUCAGGGCUCAACCCUGGACCUGCAUUCGAUACGGGCAGACUAGAGUUCGGCAGGGGAGACUGGAAUUCCUGGUGUAGCGGUGAAAUGCGCAGAUAUCAGGAGGAACACCGGUGGCGAAGGCGGGUCUCUGGGCCGAUACUGACGCUGAGGAGCGAAAGCGUGGGGAGCGAACAGG
rnacentral:rRNA from 1 species